GCGGCGCCGCUGCCACGCGCGCAGGCUCCGGCAGGGCCUGAGGAGGAGGCCGCUGCUCUAAGCUGCUUUUGUCAGACUUUUAUCCGUAUUGAUUAGGGCGUAACUGAGCAGCGCAAAGCGGAGGUAAUCGUGUCAGUGCGCCUGGUCAGCCCGUCUGCGCCCCGGAAGGGGAAGCGAAAAGUGCUUAAAGUUCUUUAACAUCCCGCUGGGGUUUCAGCAUCAGAGGCUCUUCUUGCGGAAGAUGUGGGUCACUGCCGGUGACCUAGUUCACUGGAUUGGCUCUAGAUUGACUCAUGGGAAUAGGACAAGCUCAUCGGUGUAGGCCAUAUAGGCAGUGGUUGUCCUUGCCUUGAACUGAGCAGAACCUGAGCAUCAUUUCUUGAUAGAUACUCCGUCCCGCGCUGUUCUUCUUGGGACAGAUGGGAGUCAUGCCCUCAGCACAGGCAAAAAGUCCUCAUCCUAAGGGCUGGGAGAAUCAGCUGCCACAGGUAAAGAGGGAAACACACAAGUGAUUAAAUAUCUAAAGAUUUUGUACAGCCUCUCUGCCUGUACCCUUAUACACUGAGAUUUUGAUUCAGGCUUUAAACAUGGAUCUUUGAAACAAAAAGAUGUUGUCUUCUUAUUUCUCACUGAUGAUACCAUCACCCUCUCUGCCCUAAACACCAAGCUCACCUACUGUUCCACUGAGAAAAGGACCUUGGCAUCAUCUGGGGGUAGAGUGCAUUUGCUCUGUUCAGCCUUGUCAUUAGUAUCAGCGGUGAGUAGGGUUCAGUAUUCACACAGAUAUCCUACCAGGGAAACACCUCUCAUCCCCAGAGGCAGGUAUCACAGAAGAGCUGGCAGCUGGCAGUCUUCCUAUCAAGUGUAAUUCUUGUCUUCUUGCUACUGGGAACUGUCAAUGUGGUAGUUUAAGGCAGAGGCUCAAAUAGCAGAUGCUUAUCUUAUCACCCUAAGGCCCCUUGUGUAAUGCUCCUAUCUUCCUCAAAACCAGUGAGACUGAAGAUAAGGAAGGAAUCAGGGCAGCUCAAGGACUUGUGCCAGCUGUGCGCUCUUGCUAGGGGUAAUGUUGCCAAGGAAUGGGGAGGCAAUGGAGUUGCAUGGCUGGGCUCUGAGAGAUGUCAAUCCUGAAAAACUACCAUUUAAUGAACAAACAAACAAACAACACAUUAUAUCCCCACAAGCAUUGUUAGCAGGGAAGCGGGUUGCUUGCGGAGCCUCACUGCCAUCUAGCAUGUGAACACGGUCUAUAUUUAAUCCUUUGAAACUUCCCAAAUAAGAAUUCUUUUAACAUGAACUGAAAUCUCUGACCUCCAUAAAAUACAAGGCAAGGUUACAUGUCCCCACUUCCUCCCUGUUGCUGCAACACAGCCUUCAUACUUGUGUGUUUGAAUCAUCAUGUUUCCAAUGCUAACACCCAGUCUCCAGCAGCGUUCCUACAUAGUAGGGAAACAGAACGCGUGUCGGACAAAACCUGACAAAGCAGCACUUGGAUUUAGGUCAGGCACAGCAAACAGGAGUUACUUGCAUGCUAUACCUGGCUCCCAUUCAAACACGGAGCCUGAUGAAUUCACACUAGCCCAGGCAUGCAGAAUGGUAUCUCCCUUUAUCCUUUCCAGAGAGAUUUCUUUUCAGAUGAUACCUUCAGCUCCUCAUUUCAGUGCCCCCACAACUACCAUUCACACAGGCUGCCUGACUGCUGGCCACCCCCAUGGCAAGCAGACACACUCGUGUUACUUCUACUAUUAACGCAAACUCUAGAAUCCACUGCUGACAAGGGGCAUGUUUGCACCACCAAGAUAAACAUAUAUCUCUCACUACAACUGCUGUGCUGCCAGCAUGCUGCUAUUCAGCUGCCAAUUUACCAUUCAAUACUGCUACAAGUACUGUUAGAAAGCAAGCAUCAGGCAGUGCUGAAACUCCAUCUGCACAUCCUAAACCAUCCAGAUUGUCUAGCUUGGCCUCCUGUGUAACUGACUAAAAGACCCACUGCUGGACCUAAAAACUUACGAUGGACCUUUGAAAUUCACAGGGCAUGCAGCCUUCAUUUUAUGUCUUGGAUAGCAAAUUCAUCAUUCAUAGUUUUUGUCUCUCACCCCACUUCUUGAUCCCUUCCCAUUUUCCCCCAGAUUCUAUUGCUUCCUAGUGGCAGCAGCAGACUAAAUUUCUGUUCCAGAACUGGCAGAGACUUUUAACUCUGCAUUUCGGUCUGGUUUUGCAGAACCUUCAAUUUGUAAUACCUGAACUCUUUAUUCACUGGUUGCUGGAGUUGAAUUUUGUCCUUUCCUGUCUUCUGUACCAGCUCAAAGCCCCUUAGUGCAGCUCACUCUGCAGUAACGAAGUUAUAGACAAAUGUUACAAAUAUUUUGAUUAAUGUAUUAUGAUUCCAUACUAAAUGCACGACGAUUUUACUAUUUAUAGGGAUUCUCUUUACUUAUAUUUUAUAUUCAAAAUCAGAAACUACAAGUAUCACAAAUACAUAAAAUAUGCUGAAUUUAGCCAUAAAGUUAUUUCUCAGCUUUGCCAGU